GUGGGGAAUAUUGGACAAUGGGCGCAAGCCUGAUCCAGCCAUGCCGCGUGAGUGAUGAAGGCCUUAGGGUUGUAAAGCUCUUUCAGCUGGGAAGAUAAUGACGGUACCAGCAGAAGAAGCCCCGGCUAACUUCGUGCCAGCAGCCGCGGUAAUACGAAGGGGGCUAGCGUUGUUCGGAAUCACUGGGCGUAAAGCGCACGUAGGCGGAUCAAUAAGUCAGGGGUGAAAUCCCGAGGCUCAACCUCGGAACUGCCUUUGAUACUGUUGACCUUGAGUCCGGGAGAGGUGAGUGGAACUCCGAGUGUAGAGGUGAAAUUCGUAGAUAUUCGGAAGAACACCAGUGGCGAAGGCGGCUCACUGGCCCGGUACUGACGCUGAGGUGCGAAAGCGUGGGGAGCAAACAGGAUUAGAAACCCUAGUAGUCC
rnacentral:rRNA from 1 species